AAUCGCAGAUCAGCAUGCUGCGGUGAAUACGUUCCCGGGCCUUGUACACACCGCCCGUCACACCAUGGGAGUUGGUUUUACCCGAAGGUAGUGCGCUAACCGCAAGGAGGCAGCUAACCACGGUAGGGUCAGCGACUGGGGUGAAGUCGUAACAAGGUAGCCGUAGGGGAACCUGCGGCUGGAUCACCUCCUUUCUAAGG
rnacentral:rRNA from 1 species